CAGUAGCCGCGGUAAUACGUAGGGUGCAGCGUUAAUCGGAAUUACUGGGCGUAAAGCGUGCGCAGGCGGUUAUAUAAGUCAGAUGUGAAAUCCCCGGGCUCAACCUGGGAACUGCAUUUGAGACUGUAUGGCUAGAGUGUGUCAGAGGGGGGUAGAAUUCCACGUGUAGCAGUGAAAUGCGUAGAUAUGUAGAGGAAUACCGAUGGCGAAGGCAGCCCCCUGGGAUAACACUGACGCUCAUGCACGAAAGCGUGGGGAGCAAACAGGAUUAGAUACCCCCGUAGUCCCUGUCUCUUAUACA
rnacentral:rRNA from 1 species